AGCGAACGCUGGCGGCAGGCCUAACACAUGCAAGUCGAACGAACCUUUCGGGGUUAGUGGCGGACGGGUGAGUAACACGUGGGAACGUGCCUUUAGGUUCGGAAUAACUCAGGGAAACUUGUGCUAAUACCGAAUGUGCCCUUCGGGGGAAAGAUUUAUCGCCUUUAGAGCGGCCCGCGUCUGAUUAGCUAGUUGGUUGAGGUAAUGGCUCACCAAGGCGACGAUCAGUAGCUGGUCUGAGAGGAUGAUCAGCCACAUUGGGACUGAGACACGGCCCAAACCCCCACGGGGGGGAGCAGUGGGGAAUCUUGGGAAAGGGGCGAAAGCCUGAAGCAGCCAUGCCGGGGGAAUGAUGAAGGUUUUAGGAUUGUAAAAUUCUUUCACCGGGGACGAUAAUGACGGUACCCGGAGAAGAAGCCCCGGCUAACUUCGG
rnacentral:rRNA from 1 species